UACGGGGGGAGCAAGCGUUGUUCGGAUUUACUGGGCGUAAAGCGUGCGUAGGCGGCCUAGCAAGUCGGGUGUGAAAGCCCUCGGCUCAACCGAGGAAUUGCGCCCGAAACUGCUGGGCUUGAGUGAGACAGAGGUGAGCGGAACUGAUGGUGGAGCGGUGAAAUGCGUUGAUAUCAUCAGGAACACUGGUGGCGAAGGCGGCUCACUGGGUCUCAACUGACGCUGAGGUACGAAAGCCAGGGUAGCGAACGGG
rnacentral:rRNA from 1 species